rnacentral:lncRNA from 1 species
AAUGGUUUGUCUCAUCCAUCUUCUUGGGAAUGCUUUUAUCUAUUUAGAUUACUCUUUCGGCAAGUGGAAAGGAAAUACAGAAUCUGGAUUGUCUUCUUGGGACAGAUUUCCUUCAGUGCUGAGUUAGGACAUCUUUGGGAAUAUUUCCUGAGAAGCAGAAGGACUGGGAUAAGCAAGUGGAAACCUAAAGGGGCAGCUGACAACAGAGUGGUGUUGAAGCCGAUUCAUCCUAAAGGGCAGUCCACUCACCCUCACUCAAGAGAACAGAAAGGUGAAGACCAGGGUGAGAGAAAAGAGCUCCCCACCCCGCCCCACAGUGUUUUAGUUGUGGAGAACUUGAGCCAUUUCUGUUUCACUAGCAAAGAAAGGAAAAAGGAAAGGCCAAUACAAAAAGAUUUUAAUUUUAAAUACAAUAUGACUAUAUAUGCAUGCAAAUUAGGUGAGACACUCAGUGUGUCCAAGUUAAAGCAAUGUUUUAAAAACUGUAAUCUGCUUUUUGUAGAGUUCCUUAAUUCCAGUGUGUAUUACAAAAUAUAUGCAGUGUGAAUAAAACCUGAGCUUCCCUAAUAACUCAUUGGUGA